GACGAACGCUGGCGGCGUGCUUAACACAUGCAAGUCGAACGGAAAGGCCCUGCUUUUGUGGGGUGCUCGAGUGGCGAACGGGUGAGUAACACGUGAGUAACCUGCCCUUGACUUUGGGAUAACUUCAGGAAACUGGGGCUAAUACCGGCUAGGAGCUCCUGCUGCAUGGUGGGGGUUGGAAAGUUUCGGCGGUUGGGGAUGGACUCGCGGCUUAUCAGCUUGUUGGUGGGGUAGUGGCUUACCAAGGCUUUGACGGGUAGCCGGCCUGAGAGGGUGACCGGCCACAUUGGGACUGAGAGACGGCCCAGACUCCUACGUGAGGCAGCAGUGGGGAAUAUUGCACAAUGGGCGGAAGCCUGAUGCAGCAGCGCCGCGUGCGGGAUGACGGCCUUCGGGUGGUAAACCGCUGUCGCCUGUGACGAAGCGUGAGUGACGGUAAUGGGUAAAGAAGCACCGGCUAACUACGUG
rnacentral:rRNA from 1 species